AGGACUUUUCACCAGGGGGCUCUCCUCCUGGGGACACCGCCAGCCUCUCCACUGUCCUCCGCCUGGCACACCUUUCCCGAGGAGGAUUCUGACUCGCCGCAGUUUCGAAGACGGGCUCACACGUUCAGCCACCCACCUUCAAGUUCAAGGAGGAAGCUGAACUUGCAAGAUGGGAAGGCCCACGGACUGCGGUCCCCUCUACUGAGGCAGAACUCCAGUGAGCAAUGCAGUGAUGGAGAAGGGAGGAAGAGGACCUCAUCCACCUGCAGCAACGAGUCCCUAAGCGCUGGAGGAACCCCUGUCACUCCUCGCAGAAUUUCGUGGAGGCAGCGGAUUUUCCUCCGGGUGGCAUCUCCUGUGAACAAGUCCCCCUCAGCUAUGCAGCAGCAGAAAGAUGGGCUAGACCGGACUGAGCUGCUCCCGUUGUCUCCUCUCUCUCCCACCAUGGAGGAAGAGCCUCUCGUUAUAUUCUUGUCUGGUGACGAGGACACAGAAAAAGUUGAAGAGAAAAAGAAAUCGAAGGAGAUAAAGAGUCUGUGGAAGAAAGCUAUACACCAGCAAAUCCUGUUGCUUCGAAUGGAGAAGGAAAACCAGAAACUGGAAG
rnacentral:lncRNA from 1 species